rnacentral:rRNA from 1 species
UACGGAGGGUGCAAGCGUUAUCCGGAUUCACUGGGUUUAAAGGGUGCGUAGGUGGGUUGGUAAGUCAGUGGUGAAAUCUCCAGGCUUAACUUGGAAACUGCCAUUGAUACUAUCAAUCUUGAAUACCGUGGAGGUCAGCGGAAUAUGUCAUGUAGCGGUGAAAUGCUUAGAUAUGACAUAGAACACCAAUUGCGAAGGCAGCUAACUACAGGGUUAUUGACACUGAGGCUCGAAAGCGUGGGGAGUCAAACAGGA